rnacentral:misc_RNA from 1 species
UACGUAGGUGGCAAGCGUUGUCCGGAUUUACUGGGCGUAAAGCGCGCGUAGGCGGCCUGCUAAGUCUGGGGUGAAAUCUCCCGGCUCAACCGGGAGGGGUCUUCAGAUACUGGUGGGCUUGAGGGCAGCAGAGGAAGGUGGAAUUCCCGGUGUAGUGGUGAAAUGCGUAGAUAUCGGGAGGAACACCAGUGGCGAAGGCGGCCUUCUGGGCUGUACCUGACGCUGAGGCGCGAAAGCGUGGGGAGCGAACCGG